UAAUACGUAGGUGGCAAGCGUUGUCCGGAUUUACUGGGCGUAAAGGAUGCGUAGGUGGAUAUUUAAGUGGGAUGUGAAAUACCCGGGCUCAACUUGGGUGCUGCAUUCCAAACUGGAUAUCUAGAGUGCAGGAGAGGAAAGUGGAAUUCCUAGUGUAGCAGUGAAAUGCGUAGAUAUUAGGAGGAACACCAGUGGCGAAGGCGACUUUCUGGACUGUAACUGACACUGAGGCAUGAAAGCGUGGGGAGCAAACA
rnacentral:rRNA from 1 species